UACAGAGGUGGCAAGCGUUGUUCGGAAUCACUGGGCGUAAAGCGUCCGCAGGUGGGUGUGUGUGUCGGAUGUGAAAGCCCAGGGCUCAACCCUGGAACUGCAUUCGAAACUGCACAUCUUGAGUACGGGAGAGGGAAGCAGAAUUCCUGGUGUAGAGGUGAAAUUCGUAGAUAUCAGGAGGAAUACCUGUGGCGAAAGCGGCUUCCUGGUCCGAUACUGACACUCAUGGACGAAAGCGCGGGGAGCAAACAGG
rnacentral:rRNA from 1 species